CAACUGGCUUUUUUAAAAGCCACCCUCUUGCAAAGAAGUUUGUCG
rfam:Aphanomyces astaci strain APO3 cont1.409, whole genome shotgun sequence.